AUUUUCUGCUAGGGGAGCCCGUAGCCGGGCUGAGAGAGGGGAGAACGAUCCCUUUGACCCUUUGAACCUGAUCUGGGUUAUACCAGCGUAGGAAAGUAGGAGUCGAAGAUA
rnacentral:ncRNA from 2 species